GGGCCCUGCUCUGCACUCCACGGGGGCCUUCUGAGCACAGAGCCUGCGCUGGGACGGGGAAGGGAGGAGGAGCAGGGGUGGCAGGAGGUCUGCGGUCUGAUGGAGGAGACGGGCGUGCAAACACCUCAAAGGAUAAAGAGGGGAGGGCCAAGUUGGGGCUAAAUAUGAGCUGGAACACCCAAACAUUGGAACCUUGCAAGAUUGGUAUUUUAAUAAGAAACUUGAUUCUGAAGACAUGGCUCCUGGAGCUAGAGGAAAACAAUUAGUGAUCCAUUCUUUCUUUCAUUAAAAAAGAGCCACCACUCCCAUUGUAAAGAAGAUAAAAAGAGGCUUCCUUCCUCCACCCUUUUCUGCUCCUGACUCAGACAUUCAGGUCUGCACCAACCAGCAGCGGGGGGCGAGGACACAGUUCACUGCUCCUCCCCAUCUCCUUCCUAUAACCUCCUACUGCCUCUGUGCAGGGGACUUUGACUCCAAGAACACAGUGGGGAGAUGGUUUACAGGGUGAAGCACAUUGCAUGGGGUUGAUGGAAGCCUGCAAGCUCAGCCCUAUAGGCUGAGGAGGGCUGAGAAAAGCCUGAGGGCAUCAGGGCUGAAGACUGUGGUUUCUCACGGUCCCCUUGCAUUUGAGGCUCAGCUUCUCAUGUGCAGAACAUGCACAAGGAUCCAUGGGGACUGUAUGAGAAGAAAUGAUCAGAACUUCUAUUCAUAGUUAUUUGUAUCUAAAAAAUGUAAGCUUGACUAAUAUUUAAUACACAGGUAGAGAGCAA